rnacentral:lncRNA from 1 species
CAUGUAUAAUAAAUUUUUGGUUCUGAGCAAGAAGGUGAACAUAAGAAGCAGGGCCGGUGGUUAUAAUGCACAAGUGACAUGAAUGGUGACCUGAGCCCAAAAAAAAAAAAAAACUAAACAAGUUCUGUGAUAAGCUGUACAACUAGUAGCAUAUGGUUAGAUGUGUCCUUAAGUUUACAACUUAAUUCUGAUUCAUUUUUUAUUUGCUGAUUGAUCUCAGCUAUAGUUUUCAGGGAUCAUAACUUUAGAUCCAUUUUUGUUUCUUCCAUAUAGUAUAUGAUCUGGGUUUUCUCAGUAGGAUGCAUCUUUAGGGCUUAUUAAAUACAAUAAUUCGGUCAUUCUUAACUAUGUGCUUAUGGACUGAUUGCUAAAUGGAAUCAAGGUUGCAUUUCUUUUUUUUUUUUGGGAGGGGGGAGGGGCAGUCAUCAGUGUAGUUGAAGGUCUAAGAGAGAGCAGGCUUUGGUGCAAUGGUGAGACUGCUCGACUGUGAACAGGGUGUCACAA